rnacentral:lncRNA from 1 species
UUAUGUUAAAACAGAAAUUAUAAUAAAUAUAAAGGAGGGGGGAUAAAAGUCUGGGACAAGUGGGACACGAUGACACAAUCUGAUGUGUCUUGCGCUGCUUAUGCGCAGGCGCGGCUUCGUACUGAGCCGCGCUGGGUGGGCGCACAUGGGUGGCAGGAUUUGACAUGAAUUUGUCAAAAAUAUCCCUGUUUCAAUAUAAUUUUUAAGGUGUUGCACUAUGAACUAACAUAAAAUAACCGAAACACGUGAUUUUGAAAAGAAAUUAUAGUGAUAUUUAAACGACCUUUCAUUUACUGAACAUGAGCUUGGGGCUUCGAGCCACUACUUCGGAUUUAAAUGAAAUAUGUUUCAAUAUCUACAACUAAUUUUAGGUGAACGAAGAAGUGUUCAAGAAUGCGUACAUUCCCAAGCGACUUGACGAAGUAGUCGACUUUGAAAGGGACAUCAACCAGGCCAAGGCAGGGCUAGGGGAGGAGUUGGUCUACAAGACCUUGAUAGGACUGAAGGCGGAUUUGAGCGGCACUAUCCAACAACCGGAAAUACUCGACACCAAAAGCGAACACUCAAGUAAUACGGCCUCUGAAUCAGACUCCGAUUAGAUGGGGAGCAAAUUCGUCCACUCAGGGAGGUCGAAGCACGAAACUCCCGAAGAGAAAAAGGCGCGCAAGCAGGCGGUGAAAACGGAGAAGAGCGAGAAGCGAAAAGUUAAAAUAAAAAAACAUGUCAAGAAACGAUCGGAGGCGAAGCGCAAGCGCUAGUUUCCAGGUUUCCAGGUUUCCGCUAGUUAAGAUAGGAAGCUUUGAUUAAUUUCCCCAUUUUCCCUAUUAUUUAAUGCCGAACCAAUUAUCGGACUGAAGAUUUUUUAAACUUUAGUUCGAAUCGGGCUAUAAGCCCAAAGCCUUGCGCAAUUGGGAAGUACCGAAAUUGCACCCGACAACUCCACGCAGAAGAACUGGAAAGACGCGAAUCAUUGCCAAUGACCGUCGGCGAAUUUAAAAAAAUCCCAUGUAACUGAAUCGAUUAGCAACCAGAGACUCCCUGAAUGCUUCGGUAAGGGGGAGUUAGAGCAGAACAACACUAGCUACGGAAAGUUGCAGGAAAUGUUCAUGUUUCUGAUGGUUUCAGGUAAUGGUGCAAGCAACAGCAAUAAUGGCGAAGCAAAUGUUAUUAACAACCAAGUGGACGACUCGACUCUAAAGGCGUCCCCGUACGUGCCGGGCGAUUUAACGGAACCCCAUCAUCGUCCGCCCAGCUACCAUGAGCUAAGCCAAGAUAGGUUUAGGAGAAGAAAAGUAAAGCUCCUCCGGAGCGUAAGUGACACUUGGCGACGGACUACUCACUCGAGCAAUGUUCGACUUACCGAUGAUUGAAGAAAAAUAUAUUUACAAGAUCAAAAUUUAACAUUAUGUGACCUUAGAACAAUUUAAGGCUUACACCAAAGUCCAUCAGCGACGAGCCUUUUACUGAAACUUAAUAAGUACUAAUAAAACUAGUGGCGAGUU